rnacentral:snRNA from 1 species
GUGCUCGCUUCGGCAGCACAUAUACAAAAAUUAGAAUGAUACAGAGAAGAUUAGUAUGGCCCUUGUGCAAGGGUGACACGCAAAUUCGUGAACUGUUCCAUAUAAAA